AACUUUCAACUACGGAUCUCUUGGUUCCGGCAUCGAUGAAGAACGCAGCGAAAUGCGAUAACUAAUGUGAAUUGCAGAAUUCAGUGAAUCAUCGAGUCUUUGAACCCCCAUUGCGCCCCCUGGUAUUCCGGGGGGCAUGCCUGUCCGAGCGUCAUU
rnacentral:rRNA from 1 species